UACGUAGGGGGCAAGCGUUGUCCGGAAUCAUUGGGCGUAAAGCGCGCGUAGGCGGCCAGAUAAGUCCGGUGUGAAAGUCACAGGCUCAACCUGUGAAUGCCGCUGGAAACUGUCUGGCUUGAGUCCGGAAGGGGCGAGUGGAAUUCCUGGUGUAGCGGUGAAAUGCGCAGAUAUCAGGAGGAACACCAAUGGCGAAGGCAGCUCGCUGGAACGGUACUGACGCUGAGACGCGAAAGCGUGGGGAGCAAACAGG
rnacentral:rRNA from 1 species